UUUAUCUGCUCUCUUUUGGGCCUAGUGGUGCAGUUGGUGCAGGUCAGUAAUUGCCCACUGGGAACUAUAAAUUAUAGUUCUCAUGCCCCCUGUUUUAUGUUUUCUUUCAGAGCCUUCCACUUCGGGAGGGGCUCGGGAUCGCGGGAAAGGUUUCGCCUCGAGCUAGCUACCGAGGGAUUUGGCGUUAGGUGGUCUACCUCUCUUUUGUUUUGCGUUGGAGAGGUUGUGAGAGUUUUGUACCUUAUUAUAGAGACCACCCUACUUUUGUAUCUGGAGACUUAUGAUGUAUUAGUUUCUUUAUGUUCUAGUGGUUUAGUCUCUUUCUCUUUCCUUUCUAUUUCCGCUUGUUGAUAGAACUUAGCUGCAUGCUUGCUCUGAUAUCGUUAGUUAUUGUUUAUUUUAUCUUUCAUAUCACUUUGUUGUAGACGCCUUAUAUGUGCAGGCAUAUGGCGGGUCUGGGCACGCACCGGGCAGGGCCUUUGCCGGGUCCCGGGGCGUGACAGAUAGGCCAUUUGGACAUCGACUAUAUUCUAUGUUUUAGACAUGAUGACAUAGUGAUAGGCCAUUGAGAUAUUUGCUACAUUUCAUGUUUUAGACAUGAUGACUUGAGACUUGAGACGGACUUUUAUGUUUGCUUGCCAUUGUGCUCAUUUGCACAUGCUUGUGAGGGUCGCUCCCUACAAGCCGGUACUCUGGAGAUAGCCAUCGCGACACAUGCUCGCCCGUGCGGAAUUGGGCGCCGAAAUAGGAUGCCGUAGGGGAGGCUCAUUUCUAGAGUGGGAAUGUUGACUACUACGGGGCCAUUAGGCAUGGCGCAGGCCGGACUACCCACGGGUAGGUCCUACAGGAUUGGAACAUUGGUGACAUAACAUACCAAGUGGACAUUGACUAGAAUAGUAAACAAUGACAUCUUACUGGUUACAUUGUGGAUAUUAUGUUGGGUGUAUAUUCAUGCUUAUACAUGUUAGAAAAGCAUCAUACUUAUGCAAAUCAUGCUAAGUAGAGAUAUCAUGCUUUAGUAAGUAUUCAUGUUUAAAUACUUGUCAUUCGUAUUGCUUAUUUAUUCACACUUACCUGCUUAGUUUUCGGGCCUAGUGACGCUUUUCACUGAAGUCAGUAAUUGCCCACUGGGAACUAUUAUUUAAUAGUUCUCACGCCCUUUGUUUUAUGGUUUUAUUACAGAGCUUUCAGCGCCGGUGGAGGUACGGUAUCGCGGCAAAGGGGUCGCGUAGCUAGAUAGCAAGGAUUUACAUUUUGCUUAGGUUGUUUUCUCUCUUUUGUUUUGUAGAGAGAGUGAGAGUUGUAUCCCUAUAUAGAGACCACCUAUGUUAUACUUUUGGCUCUUGUAUUUGGAUUUCAGUUGUUCUACUUUAUGGUUCUAUCUUAGUGGAUUUUAGCCUUUGUUUAUUCCUCUAUUAUAGAUUCUAGUUGUACCAUGCUCUGAUACUCCUAGAUGUUCUUUUAUCUUGUUUUAUUUACCGUUUUAUUGUAGACGCCUAAUAUGUUUUAGAAAUAUGGCAGGUCUGGNUAUGGCAGGUCUGGACACGUGCCUUGCGUGCUUCCGCUGGGUCCCGGGGAGUGACAACAACCCCCUCCCCUUCCCUCCCCCCCACUUUGCCUUACAAGACCGCCUUGCCAAUUGCCCCAGAGAAGACGGUGAAUGGUCCAAACCAGGUUCGAGCUCAAAAAGAAUAGGGAAUGAGAGACCACCUUUAUCGAACUGGCGGGGUUUCUAAAUAAGUUAAGUCUUAAGCAGACUGAAGCUAUAUAAAGAUAUGGAUGUCUGUCUUGUAUUGAGUAUGUAUGUGUAUAGAAAAAGGAUAACCUCAGUGGACUUGAAUUCCACAGGACAGAGAGUGACCUCUGUGGACUUAGACUCUACAGGAUAUGAGUUAAGUAUACAGGUAUAAAAGUGGUAGAUCUUUUAGCUCUUUAUCGCUGUGGAGGAAAAAUCGGACUAUUUUGGUGAGCUGGAGUGGGUAAAACAGUACUCAUCAUGGAAUUGAUCAACACCAUUGCCAAAGCUCAUAGGGGCGUAUCCGUAUUUGGCGGAUGGCAUUCUCCGAAUUAUUGGGUUGUUCGCUCCCAGAAUUUUUAGGAAUGAUUCUAUUACGAAGAUUCGUGGCGUUAUCAUCAGCCAUUAUUUACAUAAAAUGUAUAUUUACCUUAAAUGUUAGUCCCACUGGGCGUGCCAAAAAUUAUUGGUAGUCGAAAUCUACAAUCCCUAACCCGGUCAAAGAUCCUCCUCGGGGAGCGCGUAGGGAUGUGGAACGGCUGUGGAUAGUGACCCUCGAAAUUUGCGCCAUUCGAUUGGUCAAGCGAUUCGGCUGACGAGGGAUCGGGUCAACCGGGUUCGAAACCUCUACAGCAAAUUUGGUUCGGCUGGAUGAGCCGAAUGAGCAAGAGAAGUCAGAAUUUCAGCCAAGGAAUGAGCCGAAUGGCUAAUACAGCACAAGAGCUGGUCGGCCUGAAGAGCCGAACACUGCCUUCUAUUGAAAGAGAACGUAGAAAGUACAAGAAAAAGGGUUUUAGUUUACAACGGAGUGAUGCCCAAAGGGCAGACAGACUCCAGGACGCUAAGUUACAGGAACUACUCCUAAGAAAAGUAAACGUGAGAAAGAAAGAUGCAGGAAAAUAAAGGUGGUCUUUUGUGUGCAGGGAUGAAGACCCCUUUUUGGGGUAUUAUUAUACUAUUUAUAGAUAGCCCCCUCGGUCAGUUAUUGUUCUUACACGAUCGGCCACUAUCUCCUCAUAUUCCGGACCACUUCUAGCCGAUCGGAACCGCAUGUAACUGCUUGCGGUUACCGUAACCUCCUUCAAUUGGCGCGAUACACUUUUCCGGUGCUCCCUAUACACGACCGAAUAGAUGCUUUUGAAGGGAAUAUUCGCACCUAAAUCUCAUCCGCGCCUAAUUGGCUCAACAGAAACCCUAGGGGUCUUAUUGGGGUUUUUCUUAGAAUGAGAUCUAACUAAGGUUUGAUCUCUUGUAGUCCUAAUUGACGAGUAAGUUGAAACGUUAGGAGGCUCGGUUCGAAGAUCCGUCGAGUCUACGCCAAGAUAUUGAAGAAAAACCUCAUUUCGGCUUCGUUUGCCGAGGGUCGUGGGCGAUUGGCGACCAUAAAUUCUGGAACUUGAAUUCUAGCACCUUAGUGACCCUACGAGGUGGGUGGUGCUAUCUGAAAUCAUCGAAUCUCCUUUUAUGUCUAAAUGUCACUUAUUGAACAUGUAUGUGUAUAUAGGAUUCAUGCAUUGUAGGGUUAAGAUGAGAAUAUGUUGAUAUAUUGCUUGCAUGCUUUUAGUAUAAAGAUGCAUAUGAAUUGUUAAUGAGUUAUUGAACAAGUGUGAACCCUAUAGAUGUAUGAAUUGUGACAUGAACCUAGUUGAGGCAAAGAACAUAGUGACAUUAUGACACGUGAGUAAAAUAGCACAUUGUGGCAUUAGCGAGUAUAAUGAAUGCGAGAGAAUAGAACUCAUAGUGAGUUGUGACAUUGUGAACAUGGCAUCCUUAUAGUUAAGGAUUGAAUUGAGUAUGGCAUCCUCAGAGUUGUGGAUUUGAUUAUACUCACGUGUAAGUCUUGGCUUGAGGGCAGUCGCACUCCCUUGAGCGAUGAGCUCCGGAGUAGUCAUCACUGGGUUGGAGUUUUCCCAGAGGAUGGUCCCGUCGCGUUGUAGGAGUUUCUCCCCGAUAGUAGGGAUUUGAGUUGGUGAGUUGUUGUUCGUGGCGAAACCUACGGGUCAGCCAAGAGGAUUGGGUAUUGGAAAAUGGAAUUGGCAUACAUCAUGAGCAUCUUACAUUAUUAGCAUUCUUCUUCAGGCAUAAUAGCUGCAUUUGUUUAGAAUGGUUAUCUAUCUAUCUUCUUCUUCUACUUAUGCCUAGUUUAGACCUAGUGAGAAAGUCGGCGGGGUCGGUGGCCGAACCAACUGGAAACUUUCUUAUAGUUCUCACCCCACUGCUUUUGUAACAUACCAAAACUCGGUUGAGUAUAUCGAGCCUUAGUCAAAUGGACUAAAGUAUGCGAAAGAGAUGGUUGGACAAGUUUCAAUUAGUAUUCCAACAAGGUUGGAAGAGUUUAAAAUAAGUUUAAAAAAGUUAGAAAGGUUUUAGCAUUUAUCGGAGAGAAAUAGAAUCGAAAAGAUGCGAAAAUCUGAAAUCUGGAGUUGUGUUACUGGUUUAACAUCGAAAGUGUACCGGUACAUAGUGUAAACCGAGAGAAGUAGCUCUCGGGUUGAGUAAAAAAAGGUUGUGUACCGGUGACAGAAUUUCGUGUAGCGGUACAGUGCACGGUGGACCACAAGAGCAGCCUGCUGCAGAAUUGGAGUUUGAGGGCCUAACUACAAUUGUAGCAGCCUAAAUAAGACCCAAACCUUCUCUUCUCUUCACGGCAAGCUGAGAUUACACUCCUCUCUCAUUUUCUCUCUCUCCCUCUGUAACACACUAGACCUUUGCAAAUUGCGAGGUUCGAGUGUUUGGACUGUGUCCUGAGCUUUUCCAGAUUUUCUGGUGGGUCGUUGACAGUGUUCCGACCUAUGGUUUGAAUCCCGAGAAUUGUAGUAUUUUAUGUAGCGCUAAGGUCACUAAAGAGUUGGACUUAGGNACUUAGAACGCAUGCUUGACAUGGUUGGACAUAUCGACAUUAAGUGGCAUAGGCUAGAAUGGAUACAAAGAGUAAGCUAAUGUCAUAAAACGGCAUUAGGCUUGGACUAGACAUGAACUUAGCAAACUAGGGUCAUAAAACGGCAUUAGACUUGAUGGAUAUGUAAAUUGCAUGUGCAUGUUAUUAUUAUGAGAAUUAUGCCAAGUUAAUAGUCGCAUUGGAAAAAAAUCAUAUGUAGCAAUAUGAGAACACGCUAGAGAGCAUGUGUAUUAAUCUAUUAUUGAUAAGAACAAGCUAACGUCAUAAAGAGACAUGGAAUGUGAAUUGGGCUUAGAUUAUAGCAAUGUUUAAGUGUCAUAAAGAGGCACUAAACAUAGUGAAUGUGGGAACUUCACCUUAAGAUUUGGACUUAGUAAAGCUAAGGUCAUUGACAUCGAAAUUAUCGAACGGUUAAACCUCCACAUUGAGACAUAAUACUAGACCUUUGGGUUACUAGUGACUGUUACCAUGUUAGAGACAUGAUGAUUGGAUACUUGAGGUUUUGACCAUGCUUGCUUGCCAUUUGUGCUCAUACGCACAUGCUUGUGAGGGUCGCUCCCCACAAGCCGGCACUCCGGAGUUAGCCUACGCGACUUAUGUUCGCCCGUGCGGUAUCGAGUAGCCUACGGGGCCUGGAGGGAUAGACUCAUUCCUAGAGUGGGAAUGCUGGAGCUACCACUGGCACUUAGGCGGCACAAGCCGGACUACACCCGUGUAGAUCCUGAAUGAGAUUGAACCAGAAUACUACAACAAGUUGACAAUCACUACUAGAUAGGUUAUAGUAGUUGGAUUUUCUUGACAUGCUAUGGCAUAGGGUUGGACUUUUGGGAUACUUAGUGUACUUGACAUUAUCGCUUAUUGCAUUGUAGUACACCUUGCUGCCAUGAUAGUACAUACUAGAUAUGUAGUGGGCUCUGGAAUAUAUAUGUCACACUUUAUAGCAUUACUUGUUGCAUCAUGAUACAGUGUUUAAGUUUUGGGCAUAUUAGAUCAUGUAGAGUAGAUGUACUCCAUGUUGACAUUCAGAAUACUUGUGGCACACUAGAGUAGCAUCUUAAUUUCAUGCUUCAAUUACUGUUGAUAUUUCCUGUUAACAUUAUUUGCUCGUUUUGGGCCUAGUGGUGCAAUUUGGUGCAGGUCAGUAAUUGCCCACUGGGAACUAUAAUUUAUAGUUCUCACGCCCCCUGUUUUAUGUUUUCUUUCAGAGCCUUCCACUCCGGGAGAGGCUCGGGAUCGCGGGAAAGGUUUCGCCUCGAGUUAGCUAUCGAGGGACUUGGUGUUAGGUGGCCCACCUCUCUUUUGUUUUCUUUUGGAGAGGUUGUGAGAGUUUUGUACCUGGUUAUAGAGACCACCCUAUUUUUGUAUCUUGAGAUUUAUGAUGUAUCAAUUUACUUUAUGCUUUAGUAGUAUGAUUAUCUCUUGAUCCUACCUGAUGUUAGAACCUAGCUAUAUACUUGCUCUGAUAUCUCUAGUUGUAGAUCUUCUCAUGCUUUACUCUUCCGCUUUUGUGUAGACGCCUUAUAUGUGUAGACAUAUGGCGGGUCUGGGCGCGCAC
rnacentral:lncRNA from 1 species